rnacentral:rRNA from 1 species
GGGGUAUAAAUUAAUAAUUUAGUUUUAAUAAAAAAAUUUUUAUAAUAUAAUUAUAUUUUAAUGGGGGUUAAAGUAUAUUUUAUAGAAAAAAAUUAUAAAUUUUAUAGAAAAUUAGUAUUGUGAGAGAAUUUUGAAAUAUUUUAAAAAUUAAUUUAAUAAAAAGUAAAUUUUAUUUAUUGUAUCUUGUGUAUCAGAGUUUAUUAAAAAUAAUUUUUAAUAAAAAAAUUCUCGAAUUUAAAAGAGAUAAUUAAUUAUAAAAGUUAUUGUGGCAAAAAUAUUUUUAAUAAUUAAUUUGAAAUGAAAUGUUAAUCGUUUUUAAAUAUAUCUAGUUUUUUUAGAAAUGAAUUUAAUUUAGGAUUUAUAUUAAAAAAAGUUUUAUAUUUAAUUUUUUUUUGUAUAAAUUUAAUAUUUUAGGGGAUAAGCUUUAAAUUAAAAAGUUAUAAUUUUAAUUACUACAAAAUUAUUAAAUUUUUUAAAAUUUAUAUUGUUUAUAAAUUAUAUUUUUUUAUAAAAAAAUUUAUUAUAGAAAUAAUUUUUACUUAAAUUUAAUUUUUUAUAAAAAAAUAUUUUUUAAUUAAUAAAAAAUAGUUAUAAUGAUAAAAUUAGUAUAAAAAUAUUAUAAUAAUGUUAAUUAAAUACAUUAUUAGGUAAAAAUAUUAUAUAAAUAAUGUAUAUGUAAAGUAAUUUAAAGGAAUUCGGCAAAUAUUUAUGUUCACUUGUUUAACAAAAACAUGUUUUUUUGAUAAUAAUUUAAAGUUGAAUCUGCCCACUGAUAAUUUAUUAAAGGGCUGCAGUAUAUUGACUGUACAAAGGUAGCAUAAUCAUUAGUCUUUUAAUUGGAGACUUGUAUGAAGGAUUUGAUGAGAUAUAGACUGUCUCUAAAUUAAAUUUAGAAUUUAAUUUUUUAGUUAAAAAGCUAAAAUAAUUUUAAAAGACGAGAAGACCCUAUAGAGUUUUAUAAUUAUUUAAAUUUUAAUUUUUUAUUAAUUUUAAAAUAAAAAUUUUUUUAAUUAUUUUGUUGGGGUGAUAGAAAAAUUAAAAAAACUUUUUUUUUUAUUUAACAUAAAUAAGUGAAUAAUUGAUCCAUAAUUUAUGAUUAAAAGAAUAAAUUACCUUAGGGAUAACAGCGUAAUUUUUUUUUUUAGUUCACAUAAGAAAAAAAGUUUGCGACCUCGAUGUUGGAUUAAGAUAAAAUUUAAAUGCAGAAGUUUAAAAUUUUGAUCUGUUCGAUCAUUAAAAUCUUACAUGAUCUGAGUUCAAACCGGUGUAAGCCAGGUUGGUUUCUAUCUUUAGAAAAAUAAAAUAUUUUAGUACGAAAGGAUCAAAUAUUUAAAAUAAUUUUAAUUUAGGAAUUUUAUUAAUUAUAUGUAUAUUUUAUUAAUUAUA